rnacentral:rRNA from 1 species
UACAGAGGUCUCAAGCGUUGUUCGGAUUCAUUGGGCGUAAAGGGUGCGUAGGCGGCGAGGCAAGUCUGGUGUGAAAUCCCGGGGCUCAACCCCGGAACUGCACUGGAUACUGCUUUGCUAGAGUACUGGAGAGGGAACUGGAAUUUACGGUGUAGCAGUGAAAUGCGUAGAUAUCGUAAGGAAGACCAGCGGCGAAGGCGGGUUGCUGGGCCGACACUGACGCUGAUGCGCGAAAGCCAGGGGAGCGAACGGG